GAAAGCAAAGACCAAGACGGGUUUCAGCAGCUUGGUGCUGUCGGAGAUGGUCGAGUUAAAAUACAUCUGAAAGCAAACAGACAAUCAACAGUCCGAGAUUAGUUUACUUCUAAUAAACAUAUAUUAACACUACAAAAAAACAUAAACAGCAGCGAAGGCAGACAGAGUUGCAUGCUGGGAAGGGAAGGUUUUCCUGUCGGGACAGAAGAAAGAAGAAGAAAGACAAACUUUAAUCAAUAAUCACUUUAAUCCUUCCAUCACAUCAGACGUGACGUCCCGACCAACAGAAACACAGCACGAACAGUUCAGGUUCAGGUUCAGGUGUGCGUUACCUGGUGAAGACCUCCAGCGGGGCGGUGGAGCCCACUCCGGGCAGAGACGAAGCUUUUCCAAACUGCAGCCUGAGCGGGUGUUUGCCCUGCAGCUUGACAAUGACGC